rnacentral:lncRNA from 1 species
CUGACCCGAUGGGAUGGGUGUCCCUAUAAGGAGAGACCCCAGAGUGCUCGUGCUCCCUCCUGCCUGCAGGGGCACUCUCCCGGGACAGACCACGCACCAGCCUCUGCGAGCCAGGAAGGAGCCUCUGCAGAAACGGAACCAGCGGGAACCUUGACCUGAGACUUGCAGCCUCCAGAACUGGGAGAAAAUAGAUUUCUGUUGUUUCAAGCCCCCGAGCCUGUGGUAUUUUGUCCCAGCAGCCUGAGCAGGCUGAAAUGGUCCCAAGUUCUUGUCCCACAUCCAGAAGAAUAAGGUUAUGCAGACAACCAGAGAGUGAGCAGGGCAGAAAAAAACUUCUAUUGCAUGAUGGAACAGCUCCCAGCGUUGAGGGGACCUGAGAGUGGGCAGCCACUACCUGAAGGUGAGUAGUCUCUACCCAAAGGU